UAGCUCAGUCAGUUGAGCGUGGCGCUAACAACGCCAAGGUCGCAGGUUCGAUUCCUGU
rnacentral:tRNA from 1 species